rnacentral:rRNA from 1 species
UUGACGGGGCCCGCACAAGCGGUGGAGCAUGUGGUUAAUUCGACGCAACGCGAAGAACCUUACCAGGGCUUGACAUCCCCUGACCGCGUAUGAAAGUACGUUUUCACCCUCGGGUGACAGGGAGACAGGUGGUGCAUGGUUGUCGUCAGCUCGUGUCGUGAGAUGUUGGGUUAAGUCCCGCAACGAGCGCAACCCCUACGUUUAGUUGCUAACGCGUGAAGGCGAGCACUCUAGACGAACUGCCGUUGACAAAACGGAGGAAGGUGGGGAUGACGUCAAAUCAUCAUGCCCCUUAUGUUCUGGGCUACACACGUGCUACAAUGGCCGGUACAGACGGACGCAAAGCCGCGAGGUGGAGCAAAUCCUAAAAAGCCGGUCUCAGUUCGGAUUGCAGGCUGCAAUUCGCCUGCAUGAAGUCGGAAUCGCUAGUAAUCGCAGGUCAGCAUACUGCGGUGAAUACGUUCCCGGGCCUU